rnacentral:rRNA from 1 species
GACGAACCGUCCAAACGUUAUUCGGAAUUACUGGGCUUAAAGGGUGCGUAGGCGGCGCGGAAAGUUGGGUGUGAAAUCCCUCGGCUCAACCGAGGAACUGUGCUCAAUACUACCGUGCUCGAGGGAGAUAGAGGUGAGCGGAACUUAGGGUGGAGCGGUGAAAUGCGUUGAUAUCCUAAGGAACACCGGUGGCGAAAGCGGCUCACUGGAUCUCUUCUGACGCUGAGGCACGAAAGCUAGGGUAGCGAACGGG